rnacentral:rRNA from 1 species
UGCAAGUCGAACGGCAGCACGGGUGCUUGCACCUGGUGGCGAGUGGCGAACGGGUGAGUAAUACAUCGGAACAUGUCCUGUAGUGGGGGAUAGCCCGGCGAAAGCCGGAUUAAUACCGCAUACGAUCUACGGAUGAAAGCGGGGGACCUUCGGGCCUCGCGCUAUAGGGUUGGCCGAUGGCUGAUUAGCUAGUUGGUGGGGUAAAGGCCUACCAAGGCGACGAUCAGUAGCUGGUCUGAGAGGACGACCAGCCACACUGGGACUGAGACACGGCCCAGACUCCUACGGGAGGCAGCAGUGGGGAAUUUUGGACAAUGGGCGAAAGCCUGAUCCAGCAAUGCCGCGUGUGUGAAGAAGGCCUUCGGGUUGUAAAGCACUUUUGUCCGGAAAGAAAUCCUUGGCUCUAAUACAGUCGGGGGAUGACGGUACCGGAAGAAUAAGCACCGGCUAACUACGUGCCAGCAGCCGC